AGAACGAACGCUGGCGGCAUGCCUAACACAUGCAAGUCGAACGAGACCUUCGGGUCUAGUGGCGCACGGGUGCGUAACGCGUGGGAAUCUGCCCUUGGGUUCGGAAUAACAGCGAGAAAUUGCUGCUAAUACCGGAUGAUGACGUAAGUCCAAAGAUUUAUCGCCCAAGGAUGAGCCCGCGUAGGAUUAGCUUGUUGGUGAGGUAAGAGCUCACCAAGGCGACGAUCCUUAGCUGGUCUGAGAGGAUGAUCAGCCACACGUGGGACUGAGACACGGCCCAGACUCCGUACGGGAGGCAGCGAGGUGGGGAAUA
rnacentral:rRNA from 1 species